UACGGGGGGGGCAAGCGUUGUUCGGAAUUACUGGGCGUAAAGGGCUCGUAGGCGGCCAACUAAGUCAGACGUGAAAUCCCUCGGCUUAACCGGGGAACUGCGUCUGAUACUGGAUGGCUUGAGUUUGGGAGAGGGAUGCGGAAUUCCAGGUGUAGCGGUGAAAUGCGUAGAUAUCGAGAGGAACACCUGCGGCGAAGGCGGGUUGCUGGGCUGACACUGACGCUGAGGCGCGAAAGCCAGGGGAGCGAACGGG
rnacentral:rRNA from 1 species